rnacentral:rRNA from 1 species
GAUGAACGCUGGCGGCGUGCCUAAUACAUGCAAGUCGAGCGAACAGACGAGGAGCUUGCUCCUCUGACGUUAGCGGCGGACGGGUGAGUAACACGUGGAUAACCUACCUAUAAGACUGGGAUAACUUCGUGAAACCGGAGCUAAUACCGGAUAAUAUAUUGAACCGCAUGGUUCAAUAGUGAAAGACGGUUUUGCUGUCACUUAUAGAUGGAUCCGCGCCGCAUUAGCUAGUUGGUAAGGUAACGGCUUACCAAGGCUACGAUGCGUAGCCGACCUGAGAGGGUGAUCGGCCACACUGGAACUGAGACACGGUCCAGACUCCUACGGGAGGCAGCAGUAGGGAAUCUUCCGCAAAGGGCGAAAGCCUGACGGAGCAACGCCGCGUGAGUGAUGAAGGUCUUCGGAUCGUAAAACUCUGUUAUUAGGGAAGAACAAAUGUGUAAGUAACUAUGCACGUCUUGACGGUACCUAAUCAGAAAGCCACGGCUAACUACGUG